rnacentral:rRNA from 1 species
UACAGAGGGGGCAAGCGUUGUCCGGAAUUAUUGGGCGUAAAGAGCUCGUAGGCGGUUUGUCGCGUCUGCUGUGAAAUCUGGGGGCUCAACCCCCAGCCUGCAGUGGGUACGGGCAGACUAGAGUGCGGUAGGGGAGAUUGGAAUUCCUGGUGUAGCGGUGGAAUGCGCAGAUAUCAGGAGGAACACCGAUGGCGAAGGCAGAUCUCUGGGCCGUAACUGACGCUGAGGAGCGAAAGCAUGGGGAGCGAACAGG